UUUCUUUCUUGUUUUGAAGGGAACCAAGUGCGGCAUAGCAGUUGUGCACUCUCUUUGACACUUUUGGCCAGGCAUUAUCUGUUGGCCAGUCCUUAUUUUUAUAGUCUUGUGGCAGAAUAAGUUUGAGGAAUGAAUCCACAGAAGUUAGGAAUGAAUUCAUGUUGAAUUCAGAAUUGAAUACAACAACAUCUGCAACUAAACUGAAGCAGGUCAACAGAGUCGAACUGAAAGCAAUGGGAAGGUGCCUCUGGCAGCCACUACACACUCCAUGUAUGACCCUGGAGCAGAGCUCCAAUCAGUUUGAAUUAGUUACYGACAGUUUGAAAAAAGGAAGAAAAAACUGGAGCCAGAAAAGCUCUCAGGGUUGAAACACAACCAACUCAGCUCACAUGGGACACCUGGGUAUUGAACCCUGCAGGACAGGACCUAGAGGUGAG